rnacentral:lncRNA from 1 species
UUUUGUUUUUUAUAAUGCUUUUUUAAUGUGAGAGUUUGCUUUCUUACCAAAACUUUUCACCCCCGAAAAAGUCUUUUUAUUUGUUUAAUGUGAUCAUAUCUGCAUAUACAUUAUUUACAAUAAACUAAUGAUGAUAGUACAUAGACGUGUGUUGUCCAGUUUAGGGUCAGUUAAGAGAAACAAACAAUGGGCCAUAUUGUAUAUUUGUAUUAUUAUAGAUUAUUUAUUUCGUUUACUUUACUUCAAAAUCUUAAACAAUGAACCUAAAAUUAAUCAUGUUCUACAUAUUUAAUAUAAUUAUUCUCAAUGAUUGCAGUAUGUCUAAAAUUGUGCUGUAAUUAGUCUGAUUAUUAGGUGGGUCGCUAUUUACACAAAAGUGUGAUGUUCAUGUUGUUCAGAUGUGAUUAAUACUUUAUAUUGGAGGCAGUAGUAGUUUACUGAUGUUCAAGACUAAAAAAUCUACAUGUGGAGCAGGAUCUGCUUACCCUUCCAAAGCAUCAGUUUUUGUUUAGAUUCGUGUUGUUAAGUCUUUAUUUUUUUAUGUUGUAUUUAGUGUACAAUUGUUUGUCUGUUUGUCUUUUUCUUUUGCGUUGUCGGUUAAUUUUGCUCUAUUAGUGUGAAUUUCUCUCUGGUAUCUUACAACCCUCGAUUAACGAGAUACACACCUUCUUUUAUUGAUCUUAAAUAAUAACUAGGAAUUGUCGUAUUCGAAGUCAGUCGGAUAUACCGAGGAACACGAUAAAUCUAAGCCAUGUCUUAAAAUAACGGUACUUACAAUAGAG